GAUGAACGCUGGCGGCGUGCCUAAUACAUGCAAGUCGAGCGAACGAACGAAGAGCUUGCUCCUCUUACGUUAGCGGCGGACGAGUGAGUCACACGUAGAUAACCUACCUAUAAGACUGAGGUAACUUCGGGAAACCGAAGCUAAUACAGGAUAAUAUAUUGAACCGCAUGGUUCAAUAGUCAACACCCGUUUUGCUGUCACUUAUACAUGUAUCCGCGCCGCAUUAGCUAGUUGGUAAGGUAACGGCUUACCAAGGCAACGAUGCGUAGCCGACCUGAGAGGGUGAUCGGCCACACUGGAACUGAGACACGGUCCAGACUCCUACGGGAGGCAGCAGUAGGGAAUCUUCCGCAAUGGGCGAAAGCCUGACGGAGCAACGCCGCGUGAGUGAUGAAGGUCUUCGGAUCGUAAAACUCUGUUAUUAGGGAAGAACAGAUGUGUAAGUAACUCUGCACGUCUUGACGGUACCUAAUGAGAAAGCACCGGCUAACUACGUG
rnacentral:rRNA from 1 species